rnacentral:rRNA from 1 species
GCAGUUCGAGCGGACAGAUGGGAGCUUGCUCCCUGAUGUUAGCGGCGGACGGGUGAGUAACACGUGGGUAACCUGCCUGUAAGACUGGGAUAACUCCGGGAAACCGGGGCUAAUACCGGAUGCUUGUUUGAACCGCAUGGUUCAAACAUAAAAGGUGGCUUCGGCUACCACUUACAGAUGGACCCGCGGCGCAUUAGCUAGUUGGUGAGGUAAUGGCUCACCAAGGCAACGAUGCGUAGCCGACCUGAGAGGGUGAUCGGCCACACUGGGACUGAGACACGGCCCAGACUCCUACGGGAGGCAGCAGUAGGGAAUCUUCCGCAAUGGACGAAAGUCUGACGGAGCAACGCCGCGUGAGUGAUGAAGGUUUUCGGAUCGUAAAGCUCUGUUGUUAGGGAAGAACAAGUACCGUUCGAAUAGGGCGGUACCUUGACGGUACCUAACCAGAAAGCCACGGCUAACUACGUGCCAGCAGC